rnacentral:rRNA from 1 species
GACGAACGCUGGCGGCGUGCUUAACACAUGCAAGUCGAGCGGUAAGGCCCUUUCGGGGGUACACGAGCGGCGAACGGGUGAGUAACACGUGGGUGACCUGCCCUCAGCUCUGGGAUAAGCCUGGGAAACCGGGUCUAAUACCGGAUAUGACUCCAUGACGCAUGUUGUGGGGUGGAAAGCCUUGUGCGGCUGAGGAUGGGCCCGCGGCCUAUCAGCUUGUUGGUGGGGUGAUGGCCUACCAAGGCGACGACGGGUAGCCGGCCUGAGAGGGCGACCGGCCACACUGGGACUGAGACACGGCCCCAGACCCCUACGGGAGGGCAGCAGUGGGGAAGGUCUUCGUCGCAAUGGGCGGAAAGACCUCGACGCAGCGACGCCGCGUGAGGGAGU